ACGCUCGACACCUACGGUAGGCAGCAGUUAGGAAUAUUGGGCAAUGGAGGAAACUCUGACCCAGCAACGCCGCGUGAAGGAAGAAGGUUUUCGGAUUGUAAACUUCUGAUCUAGGGGAAGAAGGAAGUGACGGUACCCUAGGAGAAAGCCACGGCUAACUACGCGCCAGCAGCCGCGGUAAUCUGAGCGGGCUGGCAAGGC
rnacentral:rRNA from 1 species